rnacentral:sRNA from 1 species
UAAACAUAUAACUAACAAUGGUUGAGUGGAGAUGUGCUUUUAGUCAAGUGGUUAAAUAUAUUUGACUUCGUUUUUUUCAUUGGAGUUUGACUCUACUAAGUUGUGUUUCCUCGCGUAGUAAGAAUUGGUUAUGGAUUAGACCGUAUCGAUCUAAAGAUGUCAAA